AGGAUAAUAGUUAAAAAUAACGUUUAAGUUGCAUUUAAAAGAGAUUAGGCACUCCUAAUUUAUCUUA
rnacentral:tRNA from 1 species